GCGGUGCCCGAUGCCGAGGCGGUGCCCGAUGCCGAGGCGGUGCCCGAGGCCGAGGCGGUGCCCGAUGCGGUUCCCGAGGCGGUCCCCGAUGCAAUGCCAGAGACGGUGCCAGAGACGGUUCCCGAUGUAAUGCCCGAGACCGAGGCUGUUCCGGAGGUCGAGGCGGUGCCCGAUGUUGUUCCCGAUGCCGAGGCGGUGACCGAGGCCGUUCCUGAGACCGUUCCCGAGGCGGUGCCCGAUGCCGAGGUCGUUCCCGAGGCGGUGUCCUUGUCCGAUGCCGUUCCCGAGGCGGUGCCCGAUGCCGAGGUCGUUCCCGAGGCGGUGUCCUUGUCCGAUGCCGUUCCUGAGGCCAUUCCC
ensembl:lncRNA